UUCCGCUUUGGCGGUACAUAUACUAAAAUUGUAACGGUACUGAGAAGAAUAGUAUGGCGCCUGCGCAAGGAUGACAUACAAAGUCGUGAAGCAUUCCACAUUUUU